GUUAUGCUACUGGUCUGAGAUCAGAUAUGAUCAGUGCAGCAUUAUACGCCUGCGUGUGUGGAAACUAAAUUUGCGCGUUAAGCAUGAAGAGGCAGCUGUAACAAGUAAACAAACAAAUUGCGCUGAUUCAUCAUCUCUGUGAAAGACCCGCUGCAAGUUUGAGAAGUUUGAGACGGAAUAUCAUUACACAGGUAGCGCAGCUCCUUUCACAGUUCAGAGUUAGCUAGUUAGAUAGCAGUUAGCAGUACAGCUGUGAACGUACAGUGCGAUGUAUGUAUGUAUGUGCACUGUAGGCUGUUUUUCAGUAAAUAAAUGCUACAACUCCUCAAGACCCAAGUUUCCGGGUCUCCCCAGUGCUUCCCAACUACAGUCCGGACUAUGAAGAAAGGUUGACAACACUGAAGCAGCCAGGAAGGAGAAAGGUGAAGAUUUCCAGGCAGAGUGCAGCAAGAUGCAGAGAGCGUUUCAGAACAAGGAAGACAGCUGGCACAAAUCUUGACACAGGAAUGGCCCUGCAUUUAAGAGAGAUUUGCUGCUACUGGUGACAUGAAAAGGCUAUAACUUAUGACAUCUACCCCACCUGAAAAUGCUACCCAUGUCCAGACCCAUCACCUUCAGGGAGUGCAUCUGAAUACAGCCACCUAAGGUCCGGCCAUCAGUGUGCAUGCGGAAGCCUUCACUACACUCACAGCGAUAAGAGCC